rnacentral:lncRNA from 1 species
ACAAUUGAGGCUCUCCGUUUCUCUGCAGUUCAUCCCAUAAGCUUCCUUGCAGUGCCCUAGUUACCUUGCUCCAAUGCAAAGGCUUUAAGUUAGAUCUUCGAGGAGCUACACCACUAGUUGUGCGUGAAAAUCCCUGCGUUCUCCCGGGAGGAAGGCCUCGGCCAACUGCCCCAGGUCCUUUAGCGCCAAAUGGUGGUGGUGGGGGAGGUCCACCACCUGGAGGUCUUGGAGCUCCUGGAGGAGGAGGUGGACCAGGUGCGCGUCCUCCCGGAGGGGGUGGGGGAGGUGGACCA